rnacentral:rRNA from 1 species
UUAGUUAGUUGGUGAGGUAACGGCUCACCAAGACUGCGAUGGGUAGCCGGCCUGAGAGGGUGAACGGCCACACUGGAACUGAGACACGGUCCAGACUCCUACGGGAGGCAGCAGUGGGGAAUAUUGCACAAUGGAGGAAACUCUGAUGCAGCGACGCCGCGUGAACGAUGAAGGCUUUCGGGUCGUAAAGUUCUGUCCUAGGGGACGAUAAUGACGGUACCCUAGGAGGAAGCCCCGGCUAACUACGUGCCAGCAGCCGCGGUAAUACGUAGGGGGCGAGCGUUGUCCGGAUUUAUUGGGCGUAAAGGGUUCGCAGGCGGUCUCUUAAGUUAGAUGUGAAAGAUCACGGCUCAACCGUGGUAAGCAUUUAAAACUGGGAGACUUGAGUUAAGGAGAGGAAAGUGGAAUUCCUAGUGUAGCGGUGAAAUGCGUAGAUAUUAGGAGGAAUACCAGUGGCGAAGGCGACUUUCUGGACUUAUACUGACGCUGAGGAACGAAAGCGUGGGGAGCAAACAGGAUUAGAUACCCUGGUAGUCCACGCCGUAAACGAUGAGUGCUAGGUGUCGGGUGUCAAAGCUCGGUGCCGCAGCUAACG